AAUACUUCGUAUUUGCAGCGGCAUCCUUUUUUGAGGUACGAAAAAAGAUAUAGCGUAAAGCCCGACCCUUG
rnacentral:sRNA from 1 species